rnacentral:rRNA from 1 species
UGGGGAAUAUUGCACAAUGGAGGGAACUCUGAUGCAGCGACGCCGCGUGAGUGAUGAAGGAAUUCGUUUCGUAAAACUCUGUUCUAUGGGAAGAAAAGGACUGUACCAUAGGAGAAAGCUCCGGCUAAAUACGUGCCAGCAGCCGCGGUAAUACGUAUGGAGCGAGCGUUGUCCGGAAUUAUUGGGCGUAAAGGGUGCACAGGCGGCUUUACAAGUUGGAUGUGAAAUAUUGUGGCUCAACCACAAACGUGCAUCCAAAACUGCAAAGCUUGAGUUAAGGAGAGGUAAGUGGAAUUCCUGGUGUAGCGGUGGAAUGCGUAGAUAUCAGGAUGAAUACCGGUGGCGAAGGCGACUUACUGGACUUAAACUGACGCUCAGGCACGAAAGCGUGGGGAGCAAACAGG